rnacentral:rRNA from 1 species
AGAACGAACGCUGGCGGCAUGCCUAAUACAUGCAAGUCGAACGAACACUUCGGUGUUAGUGGCGCGCGGGUGCGUAACGCGUGGGAAUCUGCCCUUGGGUUCGGAAUAACAGUUGGAAACGACUGCUAAUACCGGAUGAUGACGAAAGUCCAAAGAUUUAUCGCCCAGGGAUGAGCCCGCGUAGGAUUAGCUAGUUGGUGAGGUAAAGGCUCACCAAGGCGACGAUCCUUAGCUGGUCUGAGAGGAUGAUCAGCCACACUGGGACUGAGACACGGCCCAGACUCCUACGGGAGGCAGCAGUAGGGAAUAUUGGACAAGUGGGCGCAAGCCUGAUCCAGCAAUGCCG